rnacentral:rRNA from 1 species
CUUCUGAUUCAGCGGCGGACGGGUGAGUAACACGUGGGCAACCUGCCCUGUAGAUUGGGAUAACUCCGGGAAACCGGGGCUAAUACCGAAUAAUCCUUCGGACCUCAUGGUCCGAUGUUGAAAGACGGUUUCGGCUGUCACUACAGGAUGGGCCCGCGGCGCAUUAGCUAGUUGGUGAGGUAACGGCUCACCAAGGCGACGAUGCGUAGCCGACCUGAGAGGGUGAUCGGCCACACUGGGACUGAGACAGGCCCACACUAAUACGGGAGGCAGCAGUAGGGAAUCUUCCACAAUGGACGAAAGUCUGAUGGAGCAACGCCGCGUGAGUGAAGAAGGUUCUCGGAUCGUAAAACUCUGUUGUGAGGGAAGAACAAGUACCGGAGUAACUGCCGGUACCUUGACGGUACCUCAUUAGAAAGCCACGGCUAACUACGUGCCAGCAGCCGCGGUAAUACGUAGGUGGCAAGCGUUGUCCGGAAUCAUUGGGCGUAAAGCGCGCGCAGGCGGUCCCUUAAGUCUGAUGUGAAAGCCCACGGCUCAACCGUGGAGGGUCAUUGGAAACUGGGGGACUUGAGUGCAGAAGAGGAAAGCGGAAUUCCAAGUGUAGCGGUGAAAUGCGUAGAGAUUUGGAGGAACACCAGUGGCGAAGGCGGCUUUCUGGUCUGUAACUGACGCUGAGGCGCGAAAGCGUGGGGAGCAA